rnacentral:rRNA from 1 species
UGGUGCCCAUGGAGAAGGGGGUACACCCGAUCCCAUUCCGAACUCGGAAGUUAAGCCCUUCAUCGCCGAUGAUACUGCUGAGUAGUCAGUGGGAAAGUAGGCCGGUGCCAGGACU